AAUAUUUAAAAAUUUAAAACAAGGAAAGAAACAGCCGUGAUGGGACCGCAGCGCUUAGCUUAGCUUAGCUCUCUGGACCUUUUAACUUUAGUCUUCUCCAGUUUAAACUUUUUAAAUAUUUUUAUUUUAUGAUGUUUAUGUGAAACAGAAGCAUUGACGAUGCAGUUUUUGUUUCUCUUCGUUCAGAAACAACAGACUCGUAAGAUUGAAAUCGACGCAAUGAUGUACAAGAAGACCAGGAGGAACCUUUGUUGAAGGAAACUCCUGUAUACGUCAUCACCUGACCUCUGACCUGUUUACAUCACGUGUCCAGAUGAAUCUGUCCAAAGAUCUGAAAAAAGGGACUUAUUGGAAGGAGUUCCUGACUGACGCUCUGCCAGUGAAGCUGACAGGGAUGAAGCGCUACACCGAGUUCGUGGUGGAUCGGCUGCUGCUGGAGCUUCUCUAAGGUUGAGAAGUCUUUGCUAUGAGGCUGGCUGGUUGGAUGGUGCCAUAAAGCUACUCAGAUCCUCAGAUUGGACACAGUUCAAAGAUGAAGCAGUGGAGGACUGGACUGUCCUCCCCACCUGAUCAAGGAUCUUUACAACCUUGAGUGCAAAAAAACUGUCAUCUUCCUUUUUAAGAGGCCCAGCCUAACUUUCAUUUUUUUUUACAUUUAGUUCUCAUAAGUGUUGGCAGUUUGGACUGCUGAGUUAAGGUUUUGUAUUUAUAGCCUAGCUAAGACCUUAAUUUUAAAUGGUCUCAAAUAUCCAUGUCACGUUACCCUUUACACCUUGUUUACAUGAGGAAAUGUCACGCAUGCGCACAACGCUGCCAUGGCCGCUAGAACAUUUCCGUUAACCAUUAGAUGAGAUGUAGGUGUGUAGUGCUAUGCACCGCAGCAAAGGGAAGAACAAUGAAAUAUUUAAACCUUUUUAAUCAACCUUUUACAAGCAGUCUCGUUGCCAUAGCAACUGGCAAUGUCACCAAUGUAUCAGGAUCAGAAAAACAUUUUCUACAUAAACGGAACAUGUUUUAUGUCUUCAGGUUUGAUGUUUAUUUUGCUAUUAAUCGCUGUGGCAGAUUAGAUAAUUUAAUGUCCUACUGAUCCGGUGUUUCAACUCGACCGAAACACCGAACUCAAUCACGUCUACAUGCUGUAGUUGUCAAACUAGCAUAACUUUUCUCUACCUUAACAUUAAAGCUAAAUGUUAACACUAGCUUUAGUGUGAAUUAGUAGCAAAGCACACUUUAUCUUUUAGAUAUCAGGCGCACAUUUAACAUUUCGCGUGUGAUAUUUACAACUUAACAGCUAAAACCAAUGCUAGUCAUCGUCGGCUAGCGGAUAUUUUUGCCCUCCAGCAGGACGAUGGGAGGCGUGACGUCACACUGCAAGGGAGCCAAAGUGUUAUGGUGCACAAAAAAAAGUCGUUAAAGUAAAUUCUUAGCACAGCAUGUUGGAUUAAUGUUAUCAGAUUAUUUUUCCAUCAGUCACAACAUUAAAAACAAAAUCAAUCUACAUGAAUCCGCCAUCUUUUCUUCUCUUCACAUCUUUACAUCCUUGAGUGCAAAAAACGGUCAUCUUCCUCUUUAAGAGGCCAGUAAUAAUACAACAUUCAAUGUUAUAAUCAAGCAUUAGGAUUAUUUCACUCUUAGCCUUGAAUCCGUCACAUUGAUCCAGAAAUCACUGCAGUAAUUAAUUAAUGUUAAUGAUAGAAUAUCAGAGGCGUCAGACAUGCUUCACGGCCGGGGUGUCCAAACGUCUCAUCGAAACAAGAAUACCUGGAAGCCAAAAAUAACUUAUUUCACCUCCUCAAUAAACUAAGCAUGUAAUACUUGACUUACACAGAAACAGCCAGAUUUGAUGCUGGAAAGGGAUUAUUAUGUAUCCAAACAGGUUUUUUGCAGCCAAUAUUUUUAUUUUAAGAAAGAAAAUAUUGGCUACAGAAUACUGUGAUAAUUUUAUCCUAAUUAAAAAUAGAAACGCCUAUGAACCUGGCCAUUGAAAAUAAAAUAAAAGGAGUAAUGAAUUUCCACUAAAAAACUAAGUUUGAAUUUUGAGAUUAAUAUCAGA